GCGCCCUUAGCUCAGCUGGAUAGAGCAAAUGCCUUCUAAGCAUUAGGUCAGACGUUCGAGUCGUCUAGGGCGCGCCA
rnacentral:tRNA from 1 species